GUGAGCAGUGCCCCCCCACACACACACCAACCAUAUCCUUUUGCCAUGAUGCUGCUUCCCCUGGGGCCCAGAGCCAUGGACUCAGCCAACCGUGGACUAACCCAGGAUGUAGGCAACCGUGGACUAACCCUCUAAAUUCAUAAGCCAGAAUAAGAUUUCUCUACAUUGUUCUUGUCGGGCAUUUUGGUCACAAUGGUGCAAAACGGACGAACACAGAAAUUGGUACUAAGAAGUGGAGUCCCUACUGUGACUAACCUGCCCAUGUGGUUCAGAAGCCUUUGGAGCUGAUUUGUGAAAGGGAUUUGGAAAAAAAAAAUCGUGGAUACAGGCUGGUGAAGUCUGAGAACAUUGUAAGUAGAGUCUAAUGGGUAAUUCUGGGGGGAGCUCAGAAGACCAGAAGGCGGACAGUAAAGACUGUGCUCCUGCAGUUUCAGCGGGAAGGAGGCCUCUGUUGGGAACUAGACUAGAGGCCCUUCAUGUUCUAUUCUAGCAAAGAGCUUGUCUAAAAUUUUGUCAGCGUCCUGAGAUGUUAUGUGAGGCUGAAUUUAAAGGUGACGCAGUAGUUCAUCCGGGGGAAGAAAUUCCAAGGCAGCCCAGCAUUAAGUCACGGGGUGUGGAUUUUGUGGACACCUUUUAGCCAGGUUCACCGUGAGGAUCAGGAACAGAGUGAUGAGCUGACAGAUUUUAAAAACGUGGCGGUUUGGCCAGUCAAAGUCUCUAUACAAUUAGGGCCAAAGAAGCUGUGGUAGUGAAAGAGCUUGUAGCCACUAAAGAGAUACUAAGUACUUUGCACAGAGACAAUUAAAAAACAAAACGACUAGAGGGCAUCUCCGGAGUUUGUGUGAUCACACCCACUUCAGACUCAAGGACGCAUUUUGCAUUGUGAGAUGGACAGGGGUUUGCGGGGGACCAGGGUUGAAUUGUUC
rnacentral:lncRNA from 1 species